CUUAAGAGCAGCAGCACUGGAGUCUGGUGACAGAGUGCAAAGCUUGUAAUCUUAUUUAACCCCCUCCUGACAUCACCAUAAAUUAGAUCUGACACGCUAACAACACACACACAAAAAAAACAAGUCCUUUAGUCACAGUCAACUGCCGCCACACCAGCUUGACCUUAGCUCCCCUUCCACGCCCGCCUGGUGCUCACUCUCCGCCUCACAGCCUGGGGCACAUGCCCCCCCAACCCACCCCCAUUAGCCCAUCCACCGGGGCCGCUUUGACAGCCCGCCGCCCCUCCGUGGAGAGAGGCUCUCCCCUGGGUCGAUUUAAAGAGCUAAACUCCCCUCCCGCACCCCUUGACGCUUCCGCCGCGGCCCAACCUCUCAACCCUUCUCCUUUGGCCGGACCCGCUGAUAAAGAAGGUGGCAGAAGAGCCCAUCCAGCCCCUCCACCUCGCUUUCUUCAUCCAGCGCUUUAUUAUUUGAUGAGCCGCCCCCAAGCUGCUUCUGAGACACUCUCAGAAGACCCCCAUGAUAAAAGACGCUGCACUCUUGAUUGCACUUUAGUGUCUAACCUUCUCUGGCUGCUUUUUCACUCUUUUUGAAACACGAGGAGCAUGCGUUAUAGAAAAAGGAGUAUUGGCAAAGUGCAGGUACAAAAACCUCAGUAAUGAAAAAGUCUAUUGAUUUACUUGGGCAUAAAAAAUUGGAAAACUGAAAAGCUGAAACAUUAGCUUUGUACCCGUGCCUCAGAACACAUAGACUAACAUACUAAGUAUUCACUCAUGGUUGUUGAGAAAUUUAUAACUUUCUUAAAAAGCCUGAAAUUGUCCAAGGCUCAUAGUAAAAAAAAAGUAAACUAUAUAUAACCGAUAUAUAAGAAAAAUGUUGCAAAUGCUGUUGGCUUAAGGGAAUUCCAAAAAUUCAAAUGCAAAAAUGAAGUUUGAUUUUAUAUGUAACACAACUAUAUGCAUUUUAAUCACUGUGGAGUAAAUGUACACAGUGACUAAUGCAUAAUCCACUUUGCCUAAAUGCAC
ensembl:lncRNA